UCUAAUAAAAAACAUUCAAAUCAUAUAUGAAAAAUAGAUCUAGAAGAUUACCUUGAGUUGCUUGCUUGAAUCUUCUUGUCCUUGGAGCUUAGAUUCACAAUUGUCACUCCUCUAAUGGCUUACAAACACCAACUAGCAAGAGGAUGAUAAGAGAGAGAGAGAGAGAGAGAAGGGUGGGAAAUCGGCCAGAGUUUCUUGAGAUGCAAGAGUGUCGAUUUGCUCCUCCCAAGGGGUCUAUAUAUACUAUUGGCUACUAGGGUUACACUUUAAACCCUAAUUGAAUAUCUUAGGCCCUAAGCAAUCCAAUAAUCCUUAUGGACUAGGCCUUGGACGAUUUCUAGGCUCUUCCAAACCCUAAAAUCGUCCACCCUCUUAUCCUUAAGGAUUCAUAGCCUAAAACAUAACUAUCACACAUUUGACAGUUUACGCCCCUUUAUUCAAUUAAUCUCUUUAAGUCACCAAAUUAAUUCCUAAUUAAUUUAUGACUUAUAUUAAUCAAAUAACAAUAUUAUUAUUCAUUAUACUAUACUCAUAAUAUUAAUAAUAUUUCUUCUCUCAUUAUAAAUCAUCCUGUCAAGUUGCUAUGGUGAAGGCACCCGAAAAAGACCAUGCACAACCGGGUCAAAUACUUGCCAAAUAUAGUUGCAGCCUUAGACACUAUUCCAACAAUCUCCCACUUGGAUAAGUCUAGUAACUAUAUAUACAAGCAUAAUCCGAUUAGCAAUCGUAGCUCUCAAAGACGCUAUUAAAAUCUAAUCUUAAUCAGUCCUGUCCUUUAGAUAAGGGAUCGUAUAGUCCUCUGUUUAGAUAUUACGUGGACAAUUACAUGGAAUCAUUUGUCCAGCAGUUGGUUUCUCGAUCUCAGAUUUAUUCGACAUAAAACUUAAUCGAACACAUCAAUUUAGUUCUGACCGGGCCCGGCACAUAAGUCAAAUCAAAUCAUCGAGCGGCCGAGAUAUCGCUUUUACCCUCUUAGGAUAAAAGUAACAGAUAAACUUCGACUUAUAUGCAUUUACUUAUUCAUUAAUCAAUUAUACACAACAAUGCGUUUUAUAACAUCAAUUUACUGAUGCCAUUUCGCAUUAUCAAUGUACAACCAAUUAACAAAUAACAAACCAUAUAUCUAGGUUUUAAGACCAUAUGAUAUUAUCGUCUUGCGAUCAACCUUUUUGUCAAAUUCCAUAAGGUGAUUCCAGCAAGCGCGGGUUUGUUCCAAUGCUCAAAACUAGUUCAUAAGCACUCAUGAACGUUGCAACAAACUUUUGCUAUGUCUAAUACCAUUUAGACAAUCUACACACCAAUUCAUGACAAUCUUCAUUCAUACCUACUUCCAACAUAUGAACGAUUGUGGAUUGUUUGAAUAAUUCGAUUAUUCUAAAUAAACUCAAUUAUUCUGGAAGUCAAAACAUGCAAAGUGAAACAAUAGUUAAACAAUUAACAUAGGACAGUAACUUUACUUAUAAAUAAUACUCCUUUAUUUAAUCAUCAAAUGUCAAUUACAUUUAUCUAUUAUAAGUUUCUAAACUAUCUAAUCUAAUCUAAUAUCAUCUCUCAGUCCUAUAUUCCUAGCCUACUGCAAAUGCUUAAUGCUACUCAAUCCCUUCGUAAGCGGAUCUGCUGGGUUAUCUUCUGAUGAUAUCCUCUUCACCACGAGUUGUCCUUCUUCUACACGAUGUCUAAUAAAGUGAUAUUUUCUGUCGAUAUGUCGAGAUCUACCAUGAUCCCUCGGUUCCUUGGUCAAGGCAACCGCUCCUUCAUUAUCACAGAAAAUCUCCAUGGGCUCCUUUAUGGCAGGCACAACUCCAAGAUCACCAAUGAAGUUCUUCAACCACAUUGCCUCCUUCGACGCUUCGCUCGCUGCAAUGUACUCUGAUUCGCACGUUGAAUCAGCUACGGUUUCCUGCUUGGAACUUUUCCAAGUUACUGCUCCUCCAUUAAGGGUAAAGACCCAGCCCAACUGCGAACGGUAGUUGUCCCUGCCGGUCUGGAAGCUGGUGUCACUAUACCCUCGUACCUUUAAGUCAUCACUCCCCCCGAGGAGUAAAAAGCAUUCCUUCAUCCUUCGAAGGUACUUAAGUAUAUUCUUGACCGCAAUCCAAUGAGCUCUGCCAGGGUUCCCUUGAUAUCUACUGACCAUGCUCAAAGCAAAGGCCACAUCAGGGCGAGUACAAGUCAUAGCGUACAUGAUUGAGCCAACUGCGGAAGCGUAUGGUACUCGGCUCAUUUCUGCUAUCUUGGCUUCGGUACUCGGACUUUGAGUCUUACUCAACUUGGCAUUACUUUGUAUCGGUAAUUCUCCCGUCUUCGAAAUUUCCAUACUAAAACGUUUUAGUACCUUUUCCAAGUAAGUGUUCUGACUAAGUCCUAUUAGUCUUUUACUUCGUUAUCCUUUUAUCCUUAUUCCCAAAAUGUAAGAAGCNGAAGCCUCUCCAAGGUCCUUCAUAGCGAAGCACUUCCCGAGCCACGACUUAACCACCUGCAGUGUCGGGACGUCGUUUCCUAUGAGUAGUAUGUCAUCGAAAUACAAAACGAGGAAGCUAACUAUACUCCCACUGGCUUUGACAUAUACACAUGAUUCAUCUUCGCUUCGUACAAAUCCAAACUCUUUGACUUUCUCAUCGAAGCAAAGAUUCCAUCUGGGAGACGCUUGCUUAAGUCCAUAAAUGGACUUCUCAAGUUUACACACUCUAUUUGGAUGCUUCAUAUCAAGAAAACCCUCUGGCUGAGCCAUGUAAACAUCCUCAGCCAACUUUCCAUUAAGGAAAGCGGUCUUGACAUCCAUCUGCCAUAUCUCAUAAUCAUGAAAUGCAACAAUGGCUAGCAUCACCCUAAUAGACUUUAUUUUCGCAACUGGUGAGAAGGUCUCGUCAUAGUCAACUUUGGGAGUUUGAGUAAAGCCCUUCGCAACCAAACGUGCCUUAUAUGUGCGUAUAUUUCCAUCCAUGUCGGUCUUCUUCUUGAAGAUCCAUUUGCACCCAACAGUCUUAUGUCCGGGCACGUUAUCAACCAAAUUCCAAACUUGGUUGUUACACAUGGAUUGAAUCUCGCUGUCCAUCGCCACUUUCCAUUUUGCAGAUUCCGAGCCUGCCAUGGCUUCCUUAUAGCUAUUAGGUUCAUCUAGAUUUAUUUGUGUACCAUCACUAAUAUACGUGUCCCCUUCGGUAGUAAUAUGAAAACCAUAUAACUAGGGUUAAAAUAUAACUCUUUCGGAACGUCUAAGAGGUAAGGACUCGUCAAUUGGUUCAACCGGAGUUUCCUCCUCAGGUUGAGUGCCAGCGGUAGAGGUUCCUUCAUCACUUGACUCUUGAAUCUCUUCAAGCUCGAUCUUCCUCCCACUGUAUCCUUGACUUAUGAGUUCUCGCUCUCGGAAAACCCCUCUCCUCUCAAAAAAGACAACAUUGUCACUCGGUCUAUAGAAGAGAUAUCCAAAGGAUUUCUGCAGGUAGCCGAUGAAAAUACAUCGCUCACUACGAGGUUCGAGCUUGUCGUGCGUAUCUCAUCUUACGAAAGCCUCGCAACCCCAAACCUUGAUAUGUGCCAACGAGGGAGCUUUCCAUGUCCACAUCUCGUGAGGUGUUUUGGCAACCUUUUUUGUAGGGACUAGGUUAAGGAUAUGGGCAGCAGUCUCUAAGGCAUACCCCCAGAAUGAGAUAGGUACUGAAGCAUGACUCAUCAUAGAACGAACCAUGUCCAACAAGGUUCGAUUACGCCUUUCUGCCACACACUUCAACUACGGUGUCCUAGGUGGCAUCAAUUGUGAAACGAUUCCGCAUUCUUUAAGAUAGUCGUGGACUUCAAGACUUAGGAACUCUCCUCCUCGAUCGGAUCGAAGCAUCUUGAUUUUCCUGCCUAAUUGAUUCUCCACUUCAUGUUAUGAAUUCUUUGAACUUUUCAAACGUUUCUGACUUGUGCUUGAUUAAGUAAAUAUACCCAUAUCUAUUAUAAUCAUCGGUGAAAGUCACAUAGAAGCGGUUCGCAUCCUUUGUGGCGGAUCUAAAGUGUCCACAUACAUCGGUACGUAUGAGAUCCAACAAACCCUCACCCCUUUCACACGUACCAGUGAAGGGUGACUUGGUCAUCUUCCCCUAAGGUCGAAUGACUCCAACACUCCAUCCUUUUGGAGUUGGUCUAUGCACUUCUUGUUGACAUGUCCAAGACGACACUGCCACAAUCAUAACAGUUUCAUAAAUUCCAUUACACAACAUUGCUUCAAAAUAUAAGACACCAUUUAGAUAAGCAUAAAUUGAACCAUUCCCAUUAUUAAAAGAAAAAAUAAAUCCUUGUCUAAACAAACCAUCAAAUGAAAUGAUGUUUCUUGCCAUAUCUGGCGAGUAGCAACAAUUAUUCAAAUCUAAACAUAAUCAAUUACUAAGAACUAAAGAAUACACUCCAAUCUUGGUGACAGGCGACGAUCUUCUGUUCCCCAUGAUUAGAUUUAUUCUUCCACGCUCCAUAUCCCUAUUUCUUCGUAGUCCCUGCAAUUCGGAACAAAUGUGGUAACCACACCCGAUAUCAAGAACCCAAGAAAUAACAUGAGAUGAAUCAUUAGAUUUAAUUGUAUAAAUACCUGCGAAAGAAGGUUUGAUCUUUCCUUCCUUGAUGGCUUGCAGAUAUUCUGGGCAGCUUCUCUUCCAAUGCCCUAUUUUGUGGCAAUGGUUGCACUCUGCCUCCUUCGGGUUUGGAUUGGGUUUAGCAGGAUCAACCUUGGUCCCACUGGAAGAGGAACCAUCUCAGGACUUUCCCUUUUGGUAGCUCUUUGACGGAGCCUUCCUCUUCUUUCCCCUUCCUUUCCCUAUGGCCAAAACAGGAGCAGCGGGUGGAUUGGGAGUUGGUGCAACUGACUUGUCCUUAAGGUUGCUCUCAGUAACCCUUAGGAGACCUUGGAGUUUGCUUAGGGUGACCUCCUCCUUUUUCAUGUGGUAGGUCAUCCUAAAUUGGUUGUAACACGGAGGCAAGGAGUGAAGGACCAUAUCGAUAGCCAAGUCUUCCCCAAAGUCGACAUUCAACUUGCGAAGACGAUCGACAUACCUUUGCAUCUUUUGCAAGUGUACGGUUAGAGAAUCUACAUGUCCCAUUUUGGAAGAGAUCAUGUUAGUGAAGAUCUCAUAACGUUCCUGCCUCGCGUUUGAUGGUAUCUCUCCAACAAGUCUUGAUGCAUUCCGUACGGAUACAUGUCCUCAUAUGACUUUUGGAAUUCGGCGUUCAUUAUGGCUAUCAUGAUGCAAUGAACCUUCGUUGCAUCACGUUCAUUAGUCUAAAAAGCAGUCAUUUCAGCCGAAGUAGCGAUUUCUAGAUUGAUCUUCUCAAGUUUCUCGUCGAGGACAUACUCCUUGUCCUAGUAGCGAGCAAUCGUGCGAAUGUAUCUUAUCCAUUCGCUAAAGUUUGUUCCAUCGAACGUCACUUUUUGGCAAAGGCUCAUUAGCGUGAAUGAGCUAGCAGCAGCGUUGUUCGCGUUUGACAUCUACAAAUAGAAAGGACAAAGAUUGAUUAGAAUUUGAAUCCCUAAUUAUCACCCAAUAUGAAAAUUAGGGCUAGGAUCCAACAACAUUAUUUACAUGUUAGAAACGGGAUGCCAUAAUCUAACAUCCAAACAAUUCUACACCAUGAAAACAUAGGCUUAAGUUCUAAAUGUAUUGAGAAUUCCUAGGUUUCGAUGAGAUUCAUUGAACUCUUCAAUGGCAUGUUUAAAUCUCGAUAUGCCCCUCUCGUUUGUGACUAGGAUGCCGAGGAUCACAAAGUGGGUGUGAAUAACCAUGAAAAUCUACACGAUGCCUUAAUUGUUACAAUCACCUAUUCGAUGUGCCGGUAAACCACACACGCUCCACCGAACUAUGAUAAACAAUGAAUCACCCUUUGCCACCUUUUCUUAGAACCAAUUAGUGUGCCGGUAAACCACACACGCUCCAAUUCACUUUUCCUAAAGUAAAGGUGAAAAGUGUGAAAAGUGUAACUUCAUGGGAUUGCAUCAAUUCACUUUUCCUAAAGUAACUAGGAUUGGGAAUUUUUUAAAAAAAUAGUUUAGUUACUUUUUGUGUUCAUUAUACUUAUUAAUGAGGAGAGAGAGUUGCCUUAUCCUACCCGUUCGGCUAACGACCCUCCACCGAUCAAGCAAGCGGUGGGUGUGAGUGUACACCCAUUAAGUGCCAUUUUAUAGGCCGCAACCUUAUACCCACCUUAUAGACCGGCUUCGUGAAUGAGGCCUACUAACGGUAAGACUAGCAUUUUUAAUUAUACAUACAUACAUAUAUAUAUAUAUAUAUAUAUAUAUAUAUAUAUAUAUAUAUAUUAAUCUUGUAAUAUUAUAUUAGUAUAGGGUUGAAUUUUAAACUUUUAAAAUUCCAGGGUUUGAAAUUUAAAUUGUCUAAAUUAAACUUUUAAUCAUAAAACAUAAAUUUCAAAACUUGAGGACAAGUUUUAAACUUUUCAAAACAUAAGGGAUCAAAUAAAAAAUAAUUCAAAUUAACCAUUUAAUCUCAUAAUUAUCCAUAUUUGAUUUAUUUAAAUGUUUCUUGCAAAACAAUUCACCAAUUCAAUUAAAAUAAUCAAUUAAUAUCACAUAUGGAAAUUAUUAUUCAAUUAAUUGGUAAAUAUCUUUUGUUAGAUCAAGGAUAUACUCUAAUAUAUGUUAAAAUCGGAUUUAUAUUGACCCAUAAAGAUAAAUGCAAGUUUCCAUAAGAUUACAGCAAGAAAACCCGAAAAUAGCUACAUCUGAUGCUCGAACUCGCCGAGUAACACACUGUACUCGCGGAGUUGAGGCCUAUUCGCUGAGUACACUGUGGUACUCGCCGAGUUCGUCAGGCAGAUGGACCAAAAUCGAUUUUGCAAUCAACAAUCAAGCAACCAAUGCAUCCAUUCAAUAGAAACCAAUCAAGGCUCUGAUACCACUGAUGGGUUUGAGCCAUAAGAACAUUCCUAUGUGCACAUACAAACCCUAAUGCUUGGAUCUAGGUUUCUCUAAUUGAACAUGCAAUGUAUCCAAGACUUUGAUUGAUAGAUCUAAUGAAAAACAUUCAAAUCAUAUAUGAAAAACAGAUCUACAAGAUUACCUUUAGUGGCUUGCUUGAAUCUUCUUGUCCUUGGAGCUUAGAGUCACAAUUGUCACUCCUCUAAUGGCUUACAAACACCAACUCGCAAGAGGAUGAUAAUAGAGAGAGAGAAGGGUGGGAAAUCGGCCAGAGUUUCUUGAGAUGCAAGAGUGCCGAUUUGCUUCUCCCAAGGGGUCUAUAUAUACUAUUGGCUACUAGGGUUACACUUUAAACCCUAAUUGAAUAUCUUAGGCCCUAAGCAAUCCAAUAAUCCUUAUGGACUAGGCCUUGGACGAUUUCUAGGCUCUUCCAAACCCUAUAAUCAUCCACCCUCUUAUCCUUAAGGAUUCAUAGCCUAAAACAUAACUUUCACACAUUUGAUAGUUUAUGCCCCUUUAUUCAAUUAAUCUCUUUAAGUCACCAAAUUAAUUCCUAAUUAAUUUAUAACUUAUAUUAAUCAAAUAAAAAUAUUAUUAUUCCUUAUAUUAUACUCAUAAUAUAUUAAUAAUAUUUCUUCUCUCAUUAUAAAUCAUCCUGUCAAGUUGCUAUGGUGAAGGCAACCCAAAAGGACCAUGCACAACCGGGUCAAAUACUUGCCAAAUAUAGUUGUAGCCUUAGACACUAUUCCAACAAUGUGUAUAAUAGACCAUGGGGGUAACCCAUGGCAUUUAUUUUGGAUUAGGUGCUAAGCCCAUAACUAUAUUUAGUGUGUACUUAAUUUGAUUAUGAGCAUGGUCCUUUUGGGUUGCCUUCACUCAUGCAACUUGAUAAUAUGACAAGUGGAGAG
rnacentral:lncRNA from 1 species